rnacentral:rRNA from 1 species
AGCGAACGCUGGCGGCGUGCCUAACACAUGCAAGUCGAACGGUUCUGUUGGGGGCUUGCUCUCGACAGAGUAGUGGCAAACGGGUGAGUAACACGUGGGUAAUCUUCCUUCGAGUGAGGAAUAACUUCGGGAAACCGGAGCUAAUACUGCAUAACAUCUUGGAACGGCAGUUUCAAGAUCAAAGGGGGCGCAAGCUCCCGCUUGAAGUUGAGCUCGCGUCCUAUCAGCUAGUUGGUGAGGUAAUGGCUCACCAAGGCUCCGACGGGUAGCCGGCCUGAGAGGGUGGCCGGCCACACUGGGGACUGAGACACGGCCCAGACUCCUACGGGAGGCAGCAGUGGGGAAUAUUGCGCAAUGGACGAAAGUCUGACGCAGCGACGCCGCGUGGGUGAUGAAGGCCUUCGGGUCGUAAAGCCCUGUUGAGGGAGAGAAAGCUACUGUCGGUUAAUACCCGGCAGUGGUGAUAGUAUCCCUAGAGAAAGCACCGGCUAACUACGUGCC